UACGUAGGGGGCUAGCGUUGUCCGGAAUCAUUGGGCGUAAAGCGCGUGUAGGCGGUUCGGCAAGUCCGCUGUGAAAGUCGGGGGCUCAACCCUCGGAUGCCGGUGGAUACUGUCGGGCUAGAGUGCGGGAGAGGCGAGUGGAAUUCCUGGUGUAGCGGUGAAAUGCGCAGAUAUCAGGAGGAACACCAAUUGCGAAGGCAGCUCGCUGGAACGUAACUGACGCUGAGACGCGAAAGCGUGGGGAGCAAACAGG
rnacentral:rRNA from 1 species